rnacentral:rRNA from 1 species
UACGGAGGGGGCAAGCGUUAUUCGGAAUUAUUGGGCGUAAAGAGCUCGUAGGCGGUGUGUCGCGUCGGCCGUGAAAACCUGGGGCUUAACUCUGGGCGUGCGGUCGAUACGGGCAUCACUGGAGUUCGGCAGGGGAGACUGGAAUUCCUGGUGUAGCGGUGAAAUGCGCAGAUAUCAGGAGGAACACCGGUGGCGAAGGCGGCUCUCUGGGCCUUACCUGACGCUGAGGAGCGAAAGCGUGGGUAGCGAACAGG